AAGUUCCUCUGAGAUAGUGCAAGAAUUGCAUUCAUAAUAGGUAAAUAAUUUCCUCUUUGCUUUUUCGUGGAGCCUGUGGUAGGCAAUCUUGUCCUUGUUUGUUCGUUGAUGUUCUCUUUGUUUAACAGGUACCUAUUGAUUGAGCACGAGGUGUUGAAGAAGGCAUGCGAAUGCCCAAAUGUAUGAAGAUGUGCAACUAAAGUGUGUGUGAGUGAGCAAUAUAAAGUUGAUUCUUGUCAUCUGGUACUUCCAAUUUUUGUUCUUGUUGAUGGAUUUUUUUAUCUAGUUUUAUUUGGUACAAGUAGAAUAUAUAGGGGAGGCACUGACGGGGAGAAGGGUUUGUGUAGCCAAGAGGCUGACGGGCAACUUGGUGCGAACUGAGAGCAAUGAUGCUCUCAAGGAUGAAAUAGUUGUACCGAGGGGUACUCUCGUGACAUGCCGUGGAGGUAUAUAUAGAGCUGCAUUUUGAAGAUGUUGGUUCUCAUAUUUAAUUUCUAGAGUUCUAUCACUUAUUUGGCUAUGUAAUUAUGGAAAGAAAAUAGUAAUAGGUUUUAUUUACCAUUUCCUAUUGCAUUGGAUCAUUAAUGCAUCUAGUCCUCAUUUCUAAAUCUAGUUUACUCUAGCUAUGUAUGGUUAGUUAGGUUAUCUCAUAAUGUUACCAAGCUAUAAUUUUUUGUUAUUUUCUUAUUGCUUUUGUCUUGUUAACACAAGAUAGAUCAUCAACUUGAGGGGCAUAUUGUUUAUGAUUUCUUAGUUUGUAAUCUAAUGAAAUUUUAUUAGCAGUUUAU
rnacentral:lncRNA from 1 species